UUAUAUUUCAAUUUUAUUUCAAUAACUUUGAACUUAUCUUGACCACUCAUAAAAUAUCUAUGGGUAAAAUUGAGAAUUGAAAAUGAAAAUCCUAAAUUGCAUAGUAUAAAAACUUGUGAUUGGCCAGAUAAAGAGGGAGGUGGCGCAUAUCCUCAUCAUCUUACUCUGAAUCCAAAAAUGAAGAAAAAACAAAAUAGAAACUUGAAAGAAAAAAAAGAGGAUGAAGAGGUUAUGUUGGUUCUUUUUCAUGCAUAUGUAGUAACGAUCGUGCACCAUUCUUCAACCUCAAAUUUAUUCACCACAC
rnacentral:lncRNA from 1 species